rnacentral:rRNA from 1 species
UGGGGAAUAUUGCACAAUGGGGGAAACCCUGAUGCAGCGACGCCGCGUGAGUGAAGAAGUAUUUCGGUAUGUAAAGCUCUAUCAGCAGGGAAGAUAAUGACGGUACCUGACUAAGAAGCACCGGCUAAAUACGUGCCAGCAGCCGCGGUAAUACGUAUGGUGCAAGCGUUAUCCGGAUUUACUGGGUGUAAAGGGUGCGUAGGUGGUAUGGCAAGUCUGAAGUGAAAUGCAGGGGCCCAACCCCUGAACUGCUUUGGAAACUGUCAAACUAGAGUGCAGGAGAGGAAAGCGGAAUUCCUAGUGUAGCGGUGAAAUGCGUAGAUAUUAGGAGGAACACCAGUGGCGAAGGCGGCUUUCUGGACUGUAACUGACACUGAGGCACGAAAGCGUGGGGAGCAAACAGGAUUAGAUACCCUGGUA